CGGAGGGUGCAAGCGUUAUCCGGAUUCACUGGGUUUAAAGGGUGCGUAGGCGGACAGGUAAGUCAGUGGUGAAAUCUCCGGGCUUAACUCGGAAACUGCCGUUGAUACUAUCUGUCUUGAAUAUCAUGGAGGUAAGCAGAAUAUGUCAUGUAGCGGUGAAAUGCUUAGAUAUGACAUAGAAUACCGAUAGCGAAGGCAGCUUACUACAUGUUAAUUGACGCUGAGGCACGAAAGCGUGGGGAGCAAACAGGAUUAGAUACCCUGGUAGUCCACGCCCUAAACGAUGGAUACUCGACAUCAGCGAUACACUGUUGGUGUCUGAGCGAAAGCAUUAAGUAUCCCACCUGGGAAGUACGACCGCAAGGUUG
rnacentral:rRNA from 1 species